rnacentral:lncRNA from 1 species
UUUGAACAAAGUAAGCCAUAAAAAACUGACUUCAAGUACUUUAGCUGCCAUCCUUCUCCCUCCAUAAUGUCCACCUACAGCUCCAUCAUGGCAAUGAUUUAAAAUGUUAUUCAUUUCUGGUUUAGGUACACAUCUCCUGAUUAUGUCAUCUGCAUAAAAUUUAAACAAAUAACUCUGUCCCUUUCACUGUAAUCACCACUCUCCAGCUCAAUCUACUUUCGUUAAAAAUAAAAAAUACAAAUACUAACCAACAUGGCACUUUUGAGGAGGACCCGUACAGGGGGAAACUCGCAACAAAGUCAAGAUCCU